UGCCAGAUGCUGUCCUGUCAGAAAUUCUUCUUUACGUGGUCCUGGAGGAGGGUGAUGCUGCAUUGUUAAAUCUCUCUUUUGUUUGUUCCAAAUUCAGAAAUCUGGUGGACAGGCACACUUCUGCUGGCUUGAUGGUGUACAACUAAAUGGAGAACAAAGUCUGAGCCAUCCCAGGAAUUUUAGAAAAUAUAUACACUGCAGCCGACACCGCAAUGAAGUGUACAAUAACUGCUUACCAGGCUAUGUUGGAAGAGGAAAACGAGGAGAGAUGCAAGGCUUUUACUCUGAAAACACCCAUCCAGGGUUUUGCAGUUAGUGGUGCAUGAUGCUACAGGAGGAAUAACUCUGUAUAACACAUCUUCUAAAAGUUCUGUUCUAAAAGUCUUGUAAAUACCUCCAGGAUUGUUGUUCAUGAUUCUGAUUUCUGACAACAACUAGGGAGCGCCCCUAAUAUUAUGUUUAUAUAUGUAUAUGUAUAUGAAGUUUCUUUGUCUCAGAUCUCUUCUGCAAAUCAUGCACCAAAGGGUACUGUAUUUCUUAUGUUUUAUAUCUUAAGGACCACAAUGGAAAUAAGCCUAUGGGCUUUUUGUAUUUUUAUCCUUUUGAACACUUCAUGUUGAUUGUUGUUCAAUAAAGUAUUUAAUCAAUUCAAUCAAUCAAAAUCUGUCUAAUACGUGUAUCCAAAGCUUUCUACUCUAAUUAACUUUUAAUACAAAACAGUAUUUGUGUCUUUUAUUAACAAUAUAUUCUCAACUCUUUGAUAAUAAUACUUUGCAUUAAAGCAACACUUGGAAUAU